rnacentral:rRNA from 1 species
AUGUCAUCCGGUAGCCAUGGCAGCUCUGCCUCUUCUCGUUUCCGGAGCGGAGGUACCUCUCCCAUCCCGUACCGCGUGCACCCCAUGGACUACGAGCCUUCCGUUAACUGCUACUACGGCCGAAAGGCACCGCUCCUGACCUCUUGGACCGACGCCAAUCCCGGCCGGAGGUACCUGUGCUGUUCACGGGCGACGGGAUGUGGGUUCUGGCGCUGGUUUGACCCGAGGGCUAGCCCCUACCUUAGACAGCUACUCCUCGAUCUGCGAAGCAAGAUCGUUCGCAUGGAGGGCGAGAACGCACUACUGCACAUGUCUCUGGAGCAAGCCCUGUGCAAAGCAAGGCACCAACAGAGCUUCAGCUCGCGGCUCGUUGCGUUUCUACUGAUGAGACUUGCCGUACGCAAGAACGCGACGCGUGCCAUGAGGAGCAAGAUGGUGACGGGUGCGGCCAUCGUGGUCUGGCUGGCUACAUGGGCGGGUCUUCUCUUUUUGAUCAACUUGCUCGCGGCGCUCGUGUGUAACCCAUCGGUGUUGAAGUCCAGUUGUGUCUAG